rnacentral:rRNA from 1 species
AUUGAACGCUGGCGGCAGGCCUAACACAUGCAAGUCGAGCGGAUGAAGAGAGCUUGCUCUCUGAUUUAGCGGCGGACGGGUGAGUAAUGCCUAGGAAUCUGCCUGGUAGUGGGGGAUGACGUUCUGAAAGGAACGCUAAUACCGCAUACGUCCUACGGGAGAAAGCAGGGGACCUUCGGGCCUUGCGCUAUCAGAUGAGCCUAGGUCGGAUUAGCUAGUUGGUGAGGUAAUGGCUCACCAAGGCGACGAUCCGUAACUGGUCUGAGAGGAUGAUCAGUCACACUGGAACUGAGACACGGUCCAGACUCCUACGGGAGGCAGCAGUGGGGAAUAUUGGACAAUGGGCGAAAGCCUGAUCCAGCCAUGCCGCGUGUGUGAAGAAGGUCUUCGGAUUGUAAAGCACUUUAAGUUGGGAGGAAGGGCAUUAACCUAAUACGUUAGUGUUUUGACGUUACCAACAGAAUAAGCACCGGCUAACUUCGUGCCAGCCGCCGCCGUAAUAC